CCUACGGGAGGCAGCAGUGGGGGAUAUUGCACAAUGGGGGAAACCCUGAUGCAGCGACGCCGCGUGAGUGAAGAAGUAUUUCGUUAUGUAAAGCUCUAUCAGCAGGGAAGAAAAUGACGGUACCUGACCAAGAAGCCCCGGCUAACUACGUGCCAGCAGCCGCGGUAAUACGUAGGGGGCAAGCGUGAUCCGGAUUUACUGGGUGUAAAGGGAGCGUAGACGGUUCUGUAAGUCUGGAGUUAAAGCACGGGGCCGAACCCCGGGACUGCUUUGGAUACUGUGUAACUGGAGUGCGGGAGGGGCAGGCGGAAGUCCAGGUGUAGCGGUGAAAUGCGUAGAUAUAAGGAGGAACACCGGCGGCGAAGGCGGCCUGCUGGACUGAAACUGACGUUGAGGCUCGAAAGCGUGGGGAGCAAACAGGAUUAGAUACCCGAGUAGUC
rnacentral:rRNA from 1 species